rfam:Ferrimicrobium acidiphilum DSM 19497 strain T23 FEAC_contig000005, whole genome shotgun sequence.
CAGCGGGUGAGAGUCCCGCAUGGGUAAAGGCAGGAAAGCCCGGUAGCAGACCCUGGUUCGUCGAGAGGCGGUGGGCUGAGCAAGGUGUAAAAAGCCUCUUUGGGAGGAGCAAGCGUGUGGGUCGUAGGUCCA